GAAUAUUGCGCAAUGGGCGAAAGCCUGACGCAGCCAUGCCGCGUGUGUGAAGAAGGCCCUAGGGUUGUAAAGCACUUUCAGUCGGGAGGAAAGGUAAUCGGUUAAUACCCGGUUGCUGUGACGUUACCGACAGAAGAAGCACCGGCUAACUCCGUGCCAGCAGCCGCGGUAAUACGGAGGGUGCGAGCGUUAAUCGGAAUGACUGGGCGUAAAGCGCGCGUAGGUGGUUUGUUAAGUUGGGUGUGAAAGCCCAGGGCUCAACCUUGGAAUUGCAUCCAAAACUGACAGGCUAGAGUACAGUAGAGGGGGGUAGAAUUUCCGGUGUAGCGGUGAAAUGCGUAGAGAUCGGAAGGAAUACCAGUGGCGAAGGCGGCCCCCUGGACUGAUACUGACACUGAGGUGCGAAAGCGUGGGUAGCGAACAGG
rnacentral:rRNA from 1 species